AGUGAACGCUGGCGGUAGGCCUAACACAUGCAAGUCGAACGGCAGCACAGUAAGAGCUUGCUCUUACGGGUGGCGAGUGGCGGACGGGUGAGGAAUACAUCGGAAUCUACUUUUUCGUGGGGGAUAACGUAGGGAAACUUACGCUAAUACCGCAUACGACCUACGGGUGAAAGCAGGGGAUCUUCGGACCUUGCGCGAUUGAAUGAGCCGAUGUCGGAUUAGCUAGUUGGCGGGGUAAAGGCCCACCAAGGCGACGAUCCGUAGCUGGUCUGAGAGGAUGAUCAGUCACCCUGGAACUGAGAAACGGUCCAGACUCCUACGGGAGGCAGCGGGGGGGAAUAUUGGAAAAUGGGCGGAAGCCUGAUCCAGCCAUACCGGGGGGGUGAAGAAGGCCUUCGGGUUGUAAAGCCCUUUUGUUGGGAAAGAAAAGCAGCAGGUUAAAACCCCGCUGUUCUGACGGUACCCAAAGAAAAAGCCCCGGCUAACUUCGU
rnacentral:rRNA from 1 species